rnacentral:rRNA from 1 species
UACAGAGGCCCCAAGCGUUACUGAGAAUCACUGGGUUUAAAGGGUGCGUAGGUGGUCCGUUAAGUUCGUUGUGAAAGCCCUGGGCUCAACCCAGGAACUGCUUCGAAUACUGGCGGACUUGAGGCGAGUAUGGGUCACUGGAACUGACGGUGGAGCGGUGAAAUGCGUAGAUAUCGUCAGGAACGCCAAUGGUGAAGACAGGUGACUGGGCGUCGAUCUGAGCACUGAGGCACGAAAGCGUGGGGAGCGAACGGG